AACGAACGCUAGCGGCAGGCCUAACACAUGCAAGUCGAGCGAGGACUUCGGUUCUAGCGGCGGACGGGUGAGUAACGCGUGGGAAUGUGCCCUUCUCUACGGCAUAGCCCUGGGAAACUGGGAGUAAUACCGUAUACGCCCUUUUGGGGAAAGAUUUAUCGGAGAAGGAUCAGCCCGCGUUGGAUUAGGUCGUUGGUGGGGUAAUGGCCUACCAAGCCGACGAUCCAUAGCUGGUUUGAGAGGAUGAUCAGCCACACUGGGACUGAGACACGGCCCAGACUCCUACGGGAGGCAGCAGUGGGGAAUCUUAGACAAUGGGGGCAACCCUGAUCUAGCCAUGCCGCGUGAGUGAUGAAGGCCUUAGGGUUGUAAAGCUCUUUCAGCUGGGAAGAUAAUGACGGUACCAGCAGAAGAAGCCCCGGCUAACUCCGUG
rnacentral:rRNA from 1 species